AAGUGGUUGCGUUUCAUGAGUCAGGCCACGCCUUGGUGGGCUGGAUGCUGGAGCACACAGAGGCCGUGAUGAAGGUCUCCAUAGCCCCUCGGACGAACGCCGCCCUGGGCUUUGCUCAGAUGCUCCCCAGAGACCAGCACCUCUUCACCAAGGAGCAGCUGUUUGAGCGGAUGUGCAUGGCCCUGGGGGGACGGGCCUCGGAAGCACUGUCCUUCAACAAGGUCACUUCUGGUGAGGAGCAGCGGCGCGGGCCCUGGAGGUUUCAGAGCGCUUUUCCCUGCAUGAUUCCUUCUGUUCCAGUGCAUGCCAUGGGGUGAAUCUGGUGUAGACGUAGCUUUGAAUUUAUUAAGUAUUUUGUAAAAGAUAAGUUGUGGUCAUAAGAGAUUUGGAGCUAAGCAAGACUUUUUAGAUAAUUUAAUUGGACAAAAACUUAACCUAUAUGCCAACUCUAAACACAUUCAAU
rnacentral:sRNA from 1 species